rnacentral:rRNA from 1 species
GACGAACGCUGGCGGCGUACUUAACACAUGCAAGUCGAACGGAAAGGCCCUGCUUUUGUGGGGUGCUCGAGUGGCGAACGGGUGAGUAACACGUGAGUAACCUGCCCUUGACUUUGGGAUAACUUCAGGAAACUGGGGCUAAUACCGGAUAGGAGCUCCUGCUGCAUGGUGGGGGUUGGAAAGUUUCGGCGGUUGGGGAUGGACUCGCGGCUUAUCAGCUUGUUGGUGGGGUAGUGGCUUACCAAGGCUUUGACGGGUAGCCGGCCCGAGAGGGUGACCGGCCACAUUGGGACUGAGAUACGGCCCAGACUCCUACGGGAGGCAGCAGUGGGGAAUAUUGCACAAUGGGCGGAAGCCUGAUGCAGCAACGCCGCGUGCGGGAUGACGGCCUUCGGGUUGUAAACCGCUUUCGCCUGUGACGAAGCGUGAGUGACGGUAAUGGGUAAAGAAGCACCGGCUAACUACGUG